GGACUACAGGGGUAUCUAAUCCCGUUUGCUCCCCUGGCUUUCGCGCCUCAGCGUCAGGUAAGGUCCAGCACGUCGCUUUCGCCACCGGCGUUCCUUCCAAUAUCUACGCAUUUCACCGCUCCACUGGAAGUUCCACAUGCCCCUACCUACCUCCAGCCUGCCAGUAUCAAAAGCUGUUUUCCGGUUGAGCCGAAAGAUUUCACCCCUGACUUGGCAAGCCGCCUACGCGCCCUUUAAGCCCAGUGAAUCCGAACAACGUUCGCACGGUUCGUCUUACCGCGGCUGCUGGCAC
rnacentral:rRNA from 1 species